CUUCAGUGAUGACCGACUUAGGACACCUUUGGAUUCAUCGUGAAACCACCAGUUCGCUCUGAGCAGU